rnacentral:lncRNA from 1 species
UACCUACCAUCGGUACAGUGGUAACAGCUUUCUGGAAAACUACAUCACUCGCAUAAAUUGGUGCUAAUUCUUUUCUUGGGCGACCUCUUCUCGUUGCCAUAACAACCUUCGCUAGGUUUACUUACCUAAGCAGAUGCAGUGGAGAAGAAGACGAUGAAGUAGGGAAGAAGAUGAAGAGAAAGUUAGAGAGAAGGCAGAGCUUCUCUCUCUAACAUCACACCUUUUUUUUUUCUUAUCAGAUUAAUCAACUUUAGCUUCUCUCUGUUUCUUUGUUUCUUUCCUCUUUGUUUCUUUCGUUUCUUUUCUUUCUUUUGCUUCUUUGUUUUUUUCAACAUUU